AUAAGCAAAUCUCCCCAGCUCACAGACUGAUGUGCUAAUAUGAAGAGGAAGAAAGGAGGGUUACUUAUGGAAAUGGCUUGCGUCUUGUGAUCCAGACUCCUGCACCCUUUAGAGAAGGCCAUGUAAACUGCAUAAUUCCUAGCACCCUCAUCCUCAGCCAGGAGAAUGAAUGGGCACCUAUUACAAGCCACAUGCAUUGCACCUUGAGGCAAGCCACUGAAUCUGUGAUAUAUUUGAUGAAAACUACUCCCAACCCUCAUCAUCCCCGAGGUUCCCUCCUCCGUGACGCACCUUGUUGCACUUCACACAGUGAUAAACACUACAGAUGGCCAAAGGAUGAUGGAAUUGGAACUGGGUUGCCACCUCAUUUCUGUAAUCAAACUUGUCAUAGGGCUGGACUCUAGUUCCAUAGCCAGGGCCAGAACAAAGGGAUCGGCUGCAGAGUGGCGUUCCCCUGAUGGAGCAGAUGUGGUCCAGAGACACUUGGGAUUCAUUGCAGAGGUAUUUGGUGUCUGGCUGUGAGCAGGCAGCGGGGGCCUUAGCGCUCUCUGCUGGGACUGCCACAAGUCACAGUUCUUGUCAUCGCGCCCUGCGCGGACACCGCAUUGCCCCACGGCACCGGACAGGCUGUGCAAUGGGUUUUGAUGCAACUCGAAGAUAGGAGUGUAGAUUUCACCCAAAUUGAGAAAGAUUCAGAUUUUAAUCUUCACCCAUCUGUCAUUUACUGAGCAUAAUUAAUUCUUUCUGUUUAUGGAACAAUCCCUUUUUCCUUUCCCUCUUCCCCUCCUUAUUUAUCUAGCUGUUUUGCAUGAAAGAAACGUUCCCAAAGUAUUGUGCUAGCAAGCUGAUUUGCAUCCUCUUAAACACAGGCAUUUGAAGGAUUACAUUUCCCGCUACAAAAGACAAGCAUUGUAACAGAAAACCAAGAUGUACAUUGCAGCUUCAGGGUUUCAUGUGAAGACAGUUACAGGAAUUAAACAAAACAGGAAAACGACAAGCUGCUGAAAGGACUGAGAUGUUAUUUUAUGAAAUGUUGGAGCUGGCUUCUGCCAGCACCUUGAGCACAGACUUCCCGUUGACAUAAAGUACAAUUGGCUGCAGAAAGCGUCUCUUAAACAAGAGAUGGUAAAACCAAGUCAGCCACCAAAAAAUCCUACAAAAGACUAGUUACACACACACACACAAAAAAAAUCUAAUAGCAUAUUCAGUAAAACUUCACCAGCUAUCUGACUUAAGAGGUGCUCCAAAGAGCACUGGGCACAGUCAUUUGGAGAAGGAGGAUGGCCACAUCUCCUAGUUUCAGUAAUCUAUGCAUAGAACAACUGAAAAACAAACAAAUAAAAAAAAAAUCUGUACCAUAUCUGUUUCAUACAAAUUGAUCCCUGAGAUAAUGGGCACAGAUACUCCAUGACUAUUAUCACUACACUAGAAUGCCUGAAGAGAGAUGGGAACACUGUUAUAACUGGUUCAGCAAUCAUUCAUCCUCUCUUCCUUUGUUUUAUUUGAGGAGUUCCUAUGCACCAAAUAGUUACAGGACAGGAACACAGUCAGGGAAGCUGUCACCUUGGUGUGUUGUGAUCUUACUCUUCCCUAAAUUUCUGUUUGUGGCUCCUGUUAAAUUUAACACCUCUCCUCUUCAAUAAAUCAAUAGCAAAAGGUGAUUUAUACAAGCUGGAAGGAAAAAUAAAAGUGUGUUGGGGAUGCAUUUUAGGCUAGAAGGACCUUUCAGCAGGCCCCAUGUGGUCAGUCAUAUUUUAUAUUUGUAUUGAUAGAAUUUUUCUUGUAUUCUC